rnacentral:tRNA from 1 species
AGCAGAUGAACAGCACUGCGCUGCCCUCCGAAGGCAGAGGUCACAAGUUCGAAUCUUGUCGGGUACACCA